rnacentral:SRP_RNA from 1 species
GCCGGGUGCGGUGGCGCGCGCCUGUAAUCCAAGCUACCGGGAGGCUGAGGCUGGCGGAUCGCUUGAGCUCAGGAGCUCUGAGCUGCAGUGGACCAUGCCGAUCGGGUGUCCGCACUAAGCUCGGUAUCGAUAUGGUGCUCCUGGGGGAGCCCGGGACCACCAGGUCGUCCAAGGAGGGGUGCACCGGCCCAGGUCGGGAACGGAGCAGGCCAAAGCCCCCGUGCCGCUCAGGUCGGGAACGGAGCAGGCCAAAGCCCCCGUGCCGCUCAGUAGUGGGAUCGCGCCUGUGAAUAGACGCUGCAGCGCAGCCUGAGCAAUACAGCGAGACUCAGUCUUUU